UACGUAGGGUGCAAGCGUUGUCCGGAAUUAUUGGGCGUAAAGAGCUCGUAGGCGGUUCGUCGCGUCGGCUGUGAAAUCCCGAGGCUCAACCUCGGGUCUGCAGUCGAUACGGGCGGACUGGAGUUCGGCAGGGGAGACUGGAAUUCCUGGUGUAGCGGUGAAAUGCGCAGAUAUCAGGAGGAACACCGGUGGCGAAGGCGGGGUCUCUGGGCCGAUAUCGACGCUGAGGAGCGAAAGCGUGGGGGAGCGAACAGG
rnacentral:rRNA from 1 species